rnacentral:rRNA from 1 species
CGCAUCUGUGCAUGCAGCAUAUCAAUAAGCGGAGGAAAAGAAACUAACAAGGAUUCCCCUAGUAACGGCGAGUGAAGCGGGAAGAGCUCAAAUUUGAAAUCUUAAAGGGUUUCCCUUUACGAAUUGUAGUUUAAAGAAGUGUUUUCUGUUGAGGUUUUGGUAAAAGUUCUUUGGAAUAGGACAUCAUAGAGGGUGAGAAUCCCGUAUUUGACCUUUACUUUCAACUUUGUGAUACACUUUCAAAGAGUCGGAUUGUUUGGGAAUGCAGUCCAAAAUGGGUGGUAAAUUUCAUCUAAAGCUAAAUAUUGGCGAGAGACCGAUAGCGAACAAGUACCGUGAGGGAAAGAUGAAAAGAACUUUGAAAAGAGAGUUAAACAGUACGUGAAAUUGUCAAAAGGGAAGCGUUUGACACCAGUGUUGUUUUUCUGAAAAUCAAUUAAAGAACUGUUUAUGCUAAGUUGUUUAGACUUUAUCAGCUAACUGUUUAGUUUUGAGCUUUUCUUUAAUGCACUUUUCAGUUAACAAGUCAACAUCAAUUUCUUUUGCUGUAAAAAAGCUUGAGGAAGGUGGCUUGAGAUUCGUCUUAAGUGUUUAUAGCCUCUUGCCUAUGCAGUCGGAGAGAUUGAGGUCUGCAGCGUAGAUCCUUCGGGGCUAAAUGCAUUUGUGCUAAGUUAUAGCAUUUUAUAGACAACUUGUUGACUAUGAUUUGUCUUGUAGCUUACUCGCUUAUGUUAUUUUACCUACGCUUAGGAUGUUGACUGAUAUGUAGUCGUA